GACAGGAGGUGCCGAGCGUUAGGCGGAAUCACUGGGCUUAAAGCGUGUGUAGGCGGGCCGUUAAGUGCCCCGUGAAAUCCCCCGGCUCAACCGGGGAACGGCGGGGCAGUACUGGCGGCCUUGAGCCAACGUUAAGGGCAGACGGAACGAAGCGGGUGGAGCGGUGAAAUGCGUAGAUAUCGCUUGGAACGCCGACGGCGAAAGCAGUCUGCUGGGGGU
rnacentral:rRNA from 1 species